rnacentral:rRNA from 1 species
UACGGAGGGUGCAAGCGUUAUCCGGAUUCACUGGGUUUAAAGGGUGCGUAGGCGGGUAAGUAAGUCCGUGGUGAAAUCUCUGAGCUUAACUCAGAAACUGCCGUGGAUACUAUUUGCCUUGAAUAUUGUGGAGGUGAGCGGAAAUAUGUCAUGUAGCGGUGAAAUGCUUAGAUAUGACAUAGAACACCAAUUGCGAAGGCAGCUCACUACACAAUCAUUGACGCUGAGGCACGAAAGCGUGGGGAGUCAAACAGGA